rnacentral:rRNA from 1 species
GUCGAACGAGUUCUCGUUGAUGAUCGGUGCUUGCACCGAGAUUCAACAUGGAACGAGUGGCGGACGGGUGAGUAACACGUGGGUAACCUGCCCUUAAGUGGGGGAUAACAUUUGGAAACAGAUGCUAAUACCGCAUAGAUCCAAGAACCGCAUGGUUCUUGGCUGAAAGAUGGCGUAAGCUAUCGCUUUUGGAUGGACCCGCGGCGUAUUAGCUAGUUGGUGAGGUAACAGCUCACCAAGGCGAUGAUACGUAGCCGAACUGAGAGGUUGAUCGGCCACAUUGGGACUGAGACACGGCCCAAACUCCUACGGGAGGCAGCAGUAGGGAAUCUUCCACAAUGGACGCAAGUCUGAUGGAGCAACGCCGCGUGAGUGAAGAAGGCUUUCGGGUCGUAAAACUCUGUUGUUGGAGAAGAAUGGUCGGCAGAGUAACUGUUGUCGGCGUGACGGUAUCCAACCAGAAAGCCACGGCUAACUACGUGCCAGCAGCCGCGGUAAUACGUAGGUGGCAAGCGUUAUCCGGAUUUAUUGGGCGUAAAGCGAGCGCAGGCGGUUUUUUAAGUCUGAUGUGAAAGCCCUCGGCUUAACCGAGGAAGCGCAUCGGAAACUGGGAAACUUGAGUGCAGAAGAGGACAGUGGAACUCCAUGUGUAGCGGUGAAAUGCGUAGAUAUAUGGAAGAACACCAGUGGCGAAGGCGGCUGUCUGGUCUGUAACUGACGCUGAGGCUCGAAAGCAUGGGUAGCGAACAGGAUU